UACGGAGGGUGCAAGCGUUGUCCGGAUUUAUUGGGUUUAAAGGGUGCGUAGGCGGGUCUAUAAGUCUGGUUUGAAAGUCAGCGGCUCAACCGUUGAGGGUGGCUGGAUACUGUAGAUCUUGAAAUUGUUGGAGGCAGCCGGAACGGAUCGUGUAGCGGUGAAAUGCAUAGAUAUGAUCCAGAACACCAAUUGCGUAGGCAGGCUGCUACGACUGAUUUGACGCUGAGGCACGAGAGCAUGGGGAGCAAACAGGAUUAGAUACCCUGUAGUCC
rnacentral:rRNA from 1 species